AUUGAACGCUGGCGGCAUGCCUUACACAUGCAAGUCGAACGGUAACAGGUCUUCGGAUGCUGACGAGUGGCGAACGGGUGAGUAAUACAUCGGAACGUGCCUAGUAGUGGGGGAUAACUACUCGAAAGAGUGGCUAAUACCGCAUGAGAUCUACGGAUGAAAGCAGGGGAUCGCAAGACCUUGUGCUACUAGAGCGGCCGAUGGCGGAUUAGGUAGUUGGUGGGAUAAAAGCUUACCGAGCCGACGAUCUGUAGCUGGUCUGAGAGGACGAUCAGCCACACUGGGACUGAGACACGGCCCAGACUCCUGCGGGAGGCAGCAGUGGGGAAUUUUGGACAAUGGGCGAAAGCCUGAUCCAGCAAUGCCGCGUGCAGGAUGAAGGCCUUCGGGUUGUAAACUGCUUUUGUACGGAACGAAAAGCCCCGGGUUAAUACCCUGGGGUCAUGACGGUACCGUAAGAAUAAGCACCGGCUAACUACGUGCCAGCCGCCGCAGUAA
rnacentral:rRNA from 1 species